CUCACAUUCCAGUGUUCCUAAUGGAGGUGUAGAUUACAUCUCACAUUCCAGUGUUCCUAAUGGAGGUGUAGAUUACAUCUCACAUUCCAGUGUUCCUAAUGGAGGUGUAGAUUACAUCUCACAUUCCAGUGUUCCUAAUGGAGGUGUAGAUUACA